AAAACUGUGAAGAAACUGUUAGAAAUUGUCUUUUAUGGCUAAACCUACACACGUCCUUAGUAACAUUUAAUUACUGAAUUUACUUUUCUGCUGACUGAGGCUUUUUCCAUGAGCUUACUGUGACUGUGCAGUGAAGCUAACUAAAAAUAAAAACUGACUUUUAAGCUGUUAAAUGUGGUUGAAAGGUUUUCCAGAGAGCAGAAAUGAAGCGAAUGUUGUGGCUUCAGCUGCUCCUCUGGAUGUCACAGACACAGCGCCCCAACCUGGGAAUGGCAGUCCUCCUUCUCACCAGCAUCACGCAGACUUGAUCACGCAGAUCAGGGUUAGGAGUUAAGCUGUGGGUUAGGAUUUAACCCGUGUGUGAAGGCUUAGCACUUUUCUUCCUUUUGGAAUGUGUUAGAAACAGUUACUUAGGAAAAGUAGCCUGAUUACUGAUUAUUCCUUUGAAAAGUAACUAAGUUACAAGACUGAUUACUUAAAUAUAAAAGUAACUGAGUUAGAUUACAAGUUACUUUAUUAUUUACUGUAACCCACAUGGUUACCAGACCCAUGUAUGUAAUUUAAAAGAAAAAGAGAAAAAAACUGUAGUUAUUACCUCUUACCACAUGGUGGCGCUUUGUAUCAGGUCACCGCCAGUGAGCAUAAACACUCACACUGAUAGACCGAGCCGAGAGCAACACACCAGUUGAGCUAAUUAGACUGAGAGAGAGAAUCUUAUGAGCCUUGAGAGGAAGAGAGGAGCUGCUUCGACCACAUAUAAGCCCUCUGAACUCCGCUAAGAGUUGGGCUACGUGCUAGCAUGUUAAGAUGCUGGGCUUCGCUUAUUAGCUUGUAGGAGUGAGGAUGUUAUUUGCUGAGGCAGUUUCAUAAAACCAGUCGGAGUUAUUAUCCAAUGUUUGACCCACCGUGGUACUGUGUAUCAUUGUGCUUUAUGAAAAAUAACUGAAAAGAUGGCUAUUUACAGUGCUAACGCUAAUCGCGGGUAGCUUGCUAUGCUAGCACAGGUAGCCUACAAUGCUACUGUGUCAUUAGACACAGAGAGAGAUAAAAUUUGAUGGUAAGAUGCAAGAACAUUGUUCUUAUGUACUGUUUUUGUGUACAUAAUGUGAUUUAUUUCAUUGUGGUUAUUCAAAUACUCAUGAUGAUUAAAAAGAGUGAAUGGAUAAAAUGUAUUCAUGGUUAAAAAGGUUAAAAGACAUAAAGUGUUCUAGUUAAAAAAGAUAAAUAUUGAUUUAAAAGCUGGUUAUUGAUACAAAUACUGCUUUAAAAGACUGUGAAGUCCAUUUGUGUUAAGAAUAUAAGUUCUUAAUGUAUAAUUGUGUUGAAGUAACACUAAAGUUUUGUACACUAUCAUUUACAAUGAUUUGGUUAAGAAAAUGCAGAGAAUCAGAGUAAGAGUAGUGAUGAAUAUAGUACUAAUAGAAAUUAGUUUCUGCACCAUGUGUGUAGAUUGGUUUUAUAUUUCUGCUGGAUCAGGAAUUGAUCUACAGGAAGAAUUCUGAGCCUUCCAUGUUUCAGUGGCGACAGGAAAGGAGAACGGGAUCAACUUCACAAGAACUGCAGACAUCUUCCUACUUCUCUGAUACAGAUAAGCGCGCUCAAUACGAACUAAAACCUACCCGGGUAGUAGAAGAGUAAAUGAACAGACAACACAUACACCACACAGAACAAAGCUUUUCUUCUGGCAUCGAAGAAAAGGACACUUUUAUUUUAACUUUUCUAUUAUAUUUUUGUUUAUCAAAGAGCUCUAUUUUGUUGGUAUUGUUUUAAUUCUUUGUAUUAAAAGAAAUAAUACUUGUUGAAUGCAAUAAAUGAUCAUUGUUCAA